AAACACUGCUCCGAGAAUCCGAUGGUCACCGUGAAUUUACAAAUCUGCGAUCCGAACAGGUCAGUUACACGUGGUUGGAUCCCUUCAGCCUGUUGUAGCAGCUCCAGGUGAUGAUGUGAUCCUGCCCUGUCAAGUGGAACCAGCAUUUAACGUGGCGAGGUUGACGGUGGAGUGGUCAAAGCCGGACCUCCGUCCUGACCCCAACGACCGGCUCAGCCGAGUGGAAUAUGUUCAUCUUUACAGAGACGCCCACGAGGUCCCCGACAUGAAGCUCCCAUCAUACAUCGGGAGGACGGCGUUGUUCACAGACAGCCUGAGAGAUGGAAACAUCUCACUAAGAAUCACUAAUGUGACACAAGAAGAUGAAGGAAGAUACAGAUGUUUCAUCCCGAAGUUAAAGAGUCAAACAAGGUUUUCAAUUGUUCGUCUGAUUGUUGACCCAAGUUUAACUGAAACUGGGACAACAGAGACACAACUGGGUCCUGAAAAUUUCCAUGUUCCUGAUUUAAAUGAAGAGAUAGAUAAUAAAGGUGGUUCGUCCGAGCGGUGCCGACUGAUUCCAGUUGUGGUUCUCUGUGUGUUUAUUCUUCUGUGCUUCGCAGUUGGAGGAUGUUUGAUCACAGAGUCACAAAAAGCAGAACUCAAGAAACGUCCAAUCUAAUUGCUUUGUGCAAGGGCACAUUGGAACUGUUAACAGAGAAGAGUGCUGCCUACGUACCUGCGGAUCUUUCAUAUGUGUUUGAAGAUUCGAAGCAUUAACUCUUCCAGCCUCUUCUGGACACAGUGGACGUGUCCCAUAAUCUGUUUGGACCCAAAUGAACUUUAACUCCUGUAAAUGAUGACCGUGUCUUCAGCGACUGGUCAGCUGAUGUCAAGUAGUUUCGAGUGCAGAAACAGGAUCCAUCAUCUGAGCCAAAGUUGAACUCUGGCUUCAGAGUAUACGGUUACUUUAAAUCUGUUGAAGUGAUGUGUUGCAGCACUUUGUGUUUUACAUGUCGACACUAAAGCUGAAUUUGUUUUUGUUACUUUUAUGUUAAGUUAUUUUGCUCACAAGGAAAGAUUUAGCCCUGUUCACAUAACUUUGCACUACAUAUAGCGUGACUUCAGUGUUUUGCAUAUAUACACACUUGCAGGAUAUAUUAAAAACUGAGGAUUGGUGGGAACUGAGGGGAGUUUUGUGUUUGUGUUUUUUUAAAGAGUCAAAUCCAGCAGUAAUGUAUUGAGACAGCCUGGAGCUGUAGGUGCUUUUUCAUCUCUUAGUUUUCUUAUAAUGACACAUUGUUUCUGUAUCAGUUUUAGGAUUUCAGUUUUAGGAUUUCAGUAUUUGGAUGUCAUUUUAGAGGUAUGUUUCCUUUAUCAGGAAGAACUUUUCCAUCCUCUGAACUCUAAAGUGCUUUUCAGUUACUUAACACUGACAAUUAACGGGCUUUUGAGCCACGCAGCUAUAUUUAUGGAGAAAAGAGCCAAUAUCAUCAAAGUUAAAUAUUCAUUGUUCUGUUUAUUUGAGCUUCUUCAUAUUUAAAUUCUUAGAAAAUUGGUCUUUUUUUUUAACGAUUGUUCUGAUUUUUGAAGUUUGAAACUCUUGUCACUCCUGCAUUAUCAAAUGAAUUUAUGUGAUAUUUGAAA